UACGAGGGGGGCGAGCGUUGUUCGGAAUUAUUGGGCGUAAAGGGUGCGUAGGCGGUUUGGUAAGUCUGAUGUGAAAUCUAUGGGCUCAACUCAUAGUCUGCAUCGGAAACUGCCGGGCUUGAGUGUGGGAGAGGUGAGUGGAAUUCCUGGUGUAGCGGUGAAAUGCGUAGAUAUCAGGAGGAACACCGGUGGUGUAGACGGCUUUCGUGGACCGUAACUGACGCUGAGACACGAAAGCGUGGGGAGCAAACAGG
rnacentral:rRNA from 1 species